ACGAACGCUGGCGGCGUGCCUAAUACAUGCAAGUCGAGCGGACCGACGGGAGCUUGCUCCCUUAGGUCAGCGGCGGACGGGUGAGUAACACGUGGGUAACCUGCCUGUAAGACUGGGAUAACUCCGGGAAACCGGGGCUAAUACCGGAUGCUUGAUUGAACCGCAUGGUUCAAUCAUAAAAGGUGGCUUUUAGCUACCACUURCAGAUGGACCCGCGGCGCAUUAGCUAGUUGGUGAGGUAACGGCUCACCAAGGCGACGAUGCGUAGCCGACCUGAGAGGGUGAUCGGCCACACUGGGACUGAGACACGGCCCAGACUCCUACGGGAGGCAGCAGUAGGGAAUCUUCCGCAAUGGACGAAAGUCUGACGGAGCAACGCCGCGUGAGUGAUGAAGGUUUUCGGAUCGUAAAACUCUGUUGUUAGGGAAGAACAAGUACCGUUCGAAUAGGGCGGYACCUUGACGGUACCUAACCAGAAAGCCRCGGC
rnacentral:rRNA from 1 species